rnacentral:lncRNA from 1 species
CCUGUCUCCUCAUUAGCACUAAGCCUCAUGACCUCAGCUGUCUGGUAAGUGUUGUGGAAGCCCUUGCAAUCUAGCUUAGACAUAAAAAGGGAGUACAUCUGGGCACCGUGAGGGACAGAAACCAGGAACUGGAACCAAAAACCGGAGACUUUAUUGGAGGGAAGGAUUGGGAGGUGGGAGAAGGGGGGACACUUGAUCUUCUGUAAAGGAAGAGUCCCAAACCCCUCAGCCUGGCACUCAAAGCCUGCC